AGUGAACGCUGGCGGUAGGCCUAACACAUGCAAGUCGAACGGCAGCACAGUAAGAGCUUGCUCUUACGGGUGGCGAGUGGCGGACGGGUGAGGAAUACAUCGGAAUCUACUUUUUCGUGGGUGAUAACGUAGGGAAACUUACGCUAAUACCGCAUACUACCUACGGGUGAAAGCAGGGGAUCUUCGGACCUUGCGCGAUUGAAAGAGCCGAUGUCGGAUUAGCUAGUUGGCGGGGUAAAGGCCCACCACGGCGACGAUCCGUAGCUGGUCUGAGAGGAUGAUCGGCCACACUGGAACUGAGACACGGUCCAGACUCCUACGGGAGGCAGCAGUGGGGAAUAUUGGACAAUGGGCGCAAGCCUGAUCCAGCCAUACCGCGUGGGUGAAGAAGGCCUUCGGGUUGUAAAGCCCUUUUGUUGGGAAAGAAAAGCAGCAGGUUAAUCCCCCGCUGUUCUGACGGUACCCAAAGAAUAAGCACCGGCUAACUUCGUG
rnacentral:rRNA from 1 species